rnacentral:rRNA from 1 species
CGCAAGCCUGACGGAGCAAUACCGCGUGAGGGGGAAGGCUCUUGGGUCGUAAACCUCUUUUGUCAGGGAAGAAGAAAGUGACGGUACCUGAAGAAUCAGCAUCGGCUAACUCCGUGCCAGCAGCCGCGGUAAUACGGAGGAUGCAAGCGUUAUCCGGAAUUAUUGGGCGUAAAGCGUCCGCAGGCGGCUAAUCAAGUCUGCUGUUAAAGGCCGAGGCUUAACUUCGGUUGAGCAGUGGAAACUGAUUAGCUAGAGUGCGGUAGGGGCAGAGGGAAUUCCCGGUGUAGCGGUGAAAUGCGUAGAGAUCGGGAAGAACACCGGUGGCGAAAGCGCUCUGCUGGGCCGCAACUGACACUGAGGGACGAAAGCUAGGGGAGCG